rnacentral:rRNA from 1 species
UACGUAGGGGGCAAGCGUUGUCCGGAUUUAUUGGGCGUAAAGAGCGUGUAGGCGGUCAGGUAGGUCCGUUGUGAAAACUCGAGGCUCAACCUCGAGACGCCGAUGGAAACCAUCUGACUAGAGUCCGGAAGAGGAGAGUGGAAUUCCUGGUGUAGCGGUGAAAUGCGCAGAUAUCAGGAAGAACACCCGUGGCUAAGGCGGCUCUCUGGACCGCGACUGACGCUGAGACACGAAAGCGUGGGUAGCAAACAGG